rnacentral:rRNA from 1 species
GCUGGCGGCGUGCCUAACACAUGCAAGUCGAACGAUUAAAGCUCUCUUCGGAGAGUGCMUAGAGUGGCGCACGGGUGAGUAACACGUAAGUAAUCUACCUUCGAGUGGGGAAUAACAGUCGGAAACGGCUGCUAAUACCGCAUAAUGCAGCGGCAUCGCAAGAUGACAGUUGUUAAAGAUUUAUCGCUUGAAGAGGAGCUUGCGGCAGAUUAGCUAGUUGGUAAGGUAAUGGCUUACCAAGGCUACGAUCUGUAACCGGUCUAAGAGGACGGUCGGUCACACUGACACUGAAUAACGGGUCAGACUCCUACGGGAGGCAGCAGUCGGGAAUUUUGGGCAAUGGGCGAAAGCCUGACCCAGCAACGCCGCGUGAAGGAUGAAGUAUUUCGGUAUGUAAACUUCGAAAGAAUAGGAAGAAUUAAUGACGGUACUAUUUAUAAGGUCCGGCUAACUACGUGCCAGCAGCCGCGGUAAUACAUAGGGACCAAGCGUUGUUCGGAUUUACUGAGCGUAAAGGGCGCGUAGGCGGCAUGACAAGUCACUUGUGAAAUCUCCGGGCUUAACUCGGAACGGCCAAGUGAUACUGUCACGCUAGAGUGCGGAAGGGGCAA